rnacentral:rRNA from 1 species
UACGGAGGGGGCUAGCGUUAUUCGGAAUUACUGGGCGUAAAGCGCACGUAGGCGGCUUUGUAAGUAAGAGGUGAAAGCCCGGAGCUCAACUCCGGAACUGCCUUUUAGACUGCAUCGCUUGAAUCCAGGAGAGGUGAGUGGAAUUCCGAGUGUAGAGGUGAAAUUCGUAGAUAUUCGGAGGAACACCAGUGGCGAAGGCGGCUCACUGGACUGGUAUUGACGCUGAGGUGCGAAAGCGUGGGGAGCAAACAGG